rnacentral:rRNA from 1 species
UACGUAAGUGGCGAGCGUUAUCCGGAAUUACUGGGCGUAAAGGGUGCGUAGGCCGCACGGUAAGUCAGAGGUGAAAUCCCGGAGCUCAACUUCGGAAUUGCCUCCGAUACUGCCGUGCUUGAGGACUGGAGAGGAGAUUGGAAUUCACAGUGGAGCAGUGAAAUGCGUAGAUAUUGUGAGGAACACUAGUGGCGAAGGCGAAUCUCUGGACAGUUCCUGACGCUGAGGCACGAAGGCCAGGGGAGCAAACGGG